rnacentral:rRNA from 1 species
CCUACGGGAGGCAGCAGUGGGGAAUAUUGGACAAUGGGCGAAAGCCUGAUGCAGCGACGCCGCGUGAGGGAUGACGGCCUUCGGGUUGUAAACCUCUUUCAGCAGGGACGAAGCCCAAGUGACGGUACCUGCAGAAGAAGCACCGGCUAACUACGUGCCAGCAGCCGCGGUAAU